UAGCGUAUUCGUUUGACGUUAGCGACAGAAGAAAGCACCGGCUAACUCCGUCGCCAGCAGCCGCGGUAAUACGGAGGGUGCGAGCGUUAAUCGGAAUUACUGGGCGUAAAGCGCAUGCAGGUGGUUGUUAAGUCAGAUGUGAAAGACCGGGCGUCAACCUACGGAAUAGCAUUUGUAAACUAGGCAGACUAGAGUACUGUAGAGGGGGGUAGGAAUUUCAGGUGUAGCGGUGAAAUAGCGUAGAGAUCUGAAGGAAUACCGGUGGCGAAGGCGGCCCCUCGGACAGAUACUGACACUCAGAUGCGAAAGCGUGGGGAGCAAACAGGAUUAGAUACCCUGGUAG
rnacentral:rRNA from 1 species